UACAGAGGUGGCAAGCGUUGUUCGGAAUUACUGGGCGUAAAGGGCGCGUAGGCGGCCUUGUAAGUCCCGUGUGAAAUCCCUCGGCUCAACUGAGGAACUGCACGGGAAACUGCUUGGCUUGAGUUCGGGAGAGGGAAGCGGAAUUCCGGGUGUAGCGGUGAAAUGCGUAGAUAUCCGGAGGAGCACCGGUGGCGAAGGCGGCUUCCUGGACCGACACUGACGCUGAGGCGCGAAAGCUAGGGGAGCAAACGGG
rnacentral:rRNA from 1 species